rnacentral:miRNA from 1 species
UACUAUUCCCUCCGUUCCAAA